ACGAGAAGCGGGUGGUCCUCGAGACGAUCGUGAGCCUGCUGCCCAAGGAGAAGAACUCCAUGUCCGUGAGCUUCCUGUCGAUGCUGCUGCGGGCGGCGCUCCACCUGGACACGACGCUGGCGUGCCGGCUCGACCUCGAGAAGCGGAUGUCCUCGCAGCUCGGGCAGGCCGUGCUCGACGACCUCCUCAUCCCGUCCUCCUCGCUGGACGCCGGCACAACGUUCGACGUCGACGCGGUGCAGAGGAUCCUGGCCGGGUACCUUGAGCACGAGAGCGAGGCGGCCCAGCUGGACUACAACACCGACGACGACUUCAUCUCGGCGGCGUCGCCGCCCAACGACGUCGGCAUGGUCGGCAGGCUCAUGGAGGCGUAC
rnacentral:lncRNA from 1 species